rnacentral:rRNA from 1 species
UACGUAGGGUGCGAGCGUUAAUCGGAAUUACUGGGCGUAAAGCGUGCGCAGGCGGUUACCUAAGCCAGGCGUGAAAUCCCCGGGCUUAACCUGGGAAUUGCGUUUGGGACUGGGUAGCUAGAGUGUGGCAGAGGGAGGUGGAAUUCCACGUGUAGCAGUGAAAUGCGUAGAGAUGUGGAGGAACACCGAUGGCGAAGGCAGCCUCCUGGGCCAGCACUGACGCUAAUGCACGAAAGCGUGGGGAGCAAACAGG